AUUGAACGCUGGCGGCAUGCCUUACACAUGCAAGUCGAACGGCAGCACGGGAGCAAUCCUGGUGGCGAGUGACGAACGGGUGAGUAAAGUAUCGGAACGUGCCCAGUCGUGGGGGAUAACGUAGCGAAAGUUACGCUAAUACCGCAUACGAUCUAUGGAUGAAAGCGGGGGAUGGCAAGACCUCGCGCGAUUGGAGCGGCCGAUAUCAGAUUAGGUAGUUGGUGGGGUAAAGGCCCACCAAGCCGACGAUCUGUAGCUGGUCUGAGAGGACGACCAGCCACACUGGGACUGAGACACGGCCCAGACUCCUACGGGAGGCAGCAGUGGGGAAUUUUGGACAAUGGGCGAAAGCCUGAUCCAGCCAUGCCGCGUGCAGGAUGAAGGCCUUCGGGUUGUAAACUGCUUUUGUACGGAACGAAAAGGACUGCCCUAAUACGGUGGUCCCAUGACGGUACCGUAAGAAUAAGCACCGGCUAACUACGUGCCAGCCGCCGCAGUAACAC
rnacentral:rRNA from 1 species